AGGCAGACCGAGUCCGGUUCCGAGAUGAAAUGGGCAAUGAUGUUAGGGACCACCGCAUCAGCGGCCUGGAAACACUGGCAGCGGAUGAAGCAGCACCAAACGAGGGGACGACCUUCAUGUUUGAGGGAUUCCGGU
rnacentral:SRP_RNA from 13 species